rnacentral:misc_RNA from 1 species
UCUCUUCAGAGGAGAAUAGAACACUUGCUAGGGCCACAGCAAACACCAAGUCUCACCAGGCACCAUUUCGCAAUAUGCUCUUUUAUGGUCCUCCUGGCACUGGGAAAACAAUGGUUGCAAGGGAAAUAGCAAGAAAAUCGGGUUUGGACUAUGCUAUGAUGACCGGAGGAGAUGUUGCACCCCUGGGUGCACAGGCGGUCACCAAAAUUCAUGAGAUAUUUGAUUGGGCCAAAAAAUCAAAGAAAG